AUCCAGCUGACGAGUGCCAAAUAGGGCGAAACGCGCGUCCAACUGGAU
rfam:Schistosoma mattheei strain Denwood, Zambia genome assembly, scaffold: SMTD_scaffold0002198